GACGGAGGGUGCAAGCGUUGCUCGGAAUCACUGGGCGUAAAGGGUGCGUAGGCGGCCGUGCAAGUCUGGCGUGAAAGCCCCGGGCUCAGCCCGGGAAGUGCGCUCGAAACUGUCUGGCUUGAGUCCGGAAGGGGCGAGUGGAAUUCCUGGUGUAGCGGUGAAAUGCGCAGAUAUCAGGAGGAACACCAAUGGCGAAGGCAGCUCGCUGGAACGGUACUGACGCUGAGGCGCGAAAGCGUGGGGAGCGAACAGG
rnacentral:rRNA from 1 species